rnacentral:rRNA from 1 species
GACGAACGCUGGCGGCGUGCUUAACACAUGCAAGUCGAACGGAAAGGCCCUUCGGGGUACUCGAGUGGCGAACGGGUGAGUAACACGUGGGUGAUCUGCCCUGCACUUUGGGAUAAGCCUGGGAAACUGGGUCUAAUACCGAAUAGGACCACGCGCUUCAUGGUGUGUGGUGGAAAGCUUUUGCGGUGUGGGAUGGGCCCGCGGCCUAUCAGCUUGUUGGUGGGGUAAUGGCCUACCAAGGCGACGACGGGUAGCCGGCCUGAGAGGGUGACUGGCCACACUGGGACUGAGAUACGGCCCAGACUCCUACGGGAGGCAGCAGUGGGGAAUAUUGCACAAUGGGCGCAAGCCUGAUGCAGCGACGCCGCGUGAGGGAUGACGGCCUUCGGGUUGUAAACCUCUUUCAAUAGGGACGAAGCGCAAGUGACGGUACCUAUAGAAGAAGCACCGGCCAACUACGUG